UACGGAGGAUGCGAGCGUUAUCCGGAAUUAUUGGGCGUAAAGGGUGCGCAGGCGGUUUGAAAAGUUUAAGGUGAAAGCGUGGGGCUUAACCCCAUACAGCCUUAGAAACUGUCAGACUAGAGUACAGGAGAGGACAAUGGAAUUCCAUGUGUAGCGGUAAAAUGCGUAGAUAUAUGGAGGAACACCAGUGGCGAAGGCGGUUGCCUGGCCUGUAACUGACGCUCAUGCACGAAAGCGUGGGGAGCAAAUAGG
rnacentral:rRNA from 1 species